rnacentral:lncRNA from 1 species
GACAGCUAGGGGGGAAAUGUCUACAGUGAUACUUGUGUUUACAGCUCCACAAAACAUGGGCAUGUUUCACCGCAAACUGGAGGUGCAAAUAUGAAUGUCAUGCAUCCCUUAAGUAGUGGUGGAGAAAGUGACCCUUUCUGAUGAAGCUUGAUCCCAUCAGAGACAAAGGCAGACUGAGCCAGGAGAUAAGGCCAUUUUCUGGAUGUGAAUAGGAGCAGACCCUCUGGAAAAAGAACAGAGUCUUUACACCCAUCCUCUCACAGCCUGCCCAUUACACGGUUUAACCUGGAGACAUGACAGACAUGGAGAGAUCACUGCCUUAAUGGUGAAAAAGAGGGAAAACCUCAGAUGGGCUGUGCGCGACCACUAAGGAGAGAAUGGAGAGCUUGGAGACAUUGAGGGUCAUCAAGCUUUCUGAGACACUGUGAAGACACUGUCAUUUUGUCAGGAAGAUCAGUCAUGGAUGCACUUGUCCUCUUCCAUCUGGAACUUUUUUGUGAAGCAGAGUGUUGCAGCAGCUUGUGCUCUCAGCUCCCGGAUCCUGUAAGGCAAAGACAGAAUGGGGCAUGCAGUCUGCCCAGAGGAAGAGUCUUCCAAACAGUUUACAAUGAGGACAUUGACAGAUGAGAACUUCACUACCUCCCAUGCUUUCGCUUGUUUACUUGGUUCUCGAGAACUUCUCUAGUCAUCCUUUGGCCAGCCUGCACUGCGGCUUCCCAGAAAGACACGGAUAGAGCUGUCAGUUAAUCAAAAAUAAAUAGAUAAAC